UAGGGAAUCUUCCACAAUGGACGCAAGUCUGAUGGAGCAACGCCGCGUGAGUGAAGAAGGUUUUCGGACCGUAAAGCUCUGUUGUUGGUGAAGAAGGAUAGAGGUAGUAACUGGCCUUUAUUUGACGGUAAUCAACCAGAAAGUCACGGCUAACUACGUGCCAGCAGCCGCGGUAAUACGUAGGUGGCAAGCGUUGUCCGGAUUUAUUGGGCGUAAAGCGAGCGCAGGCGGAAGAAUAAGUCUGAUGUGAAAGCCCUCGGCUUAACCGAGGAAUUGCAUCGGAAACUGUUUUUCUUGAGUGCAGAAGAGGAGAGUAGAACUCCAUGUGUAGCGGUGGAAUGCGUAGAUAUAUGGAAGAAUACCAGUGGCGAAGGCGGCUCUCUGGUCUGCAACUGACGCUGAGGCUCGAAAAGCAUGGGUAGCGAACAGGAUUAGAUACCCUGGUAGUCCAUGCCGUAAACGAUGAGUGCUAAGUGUUGGGAGGCUUCCGCCUCUCAGUGCUGCAGCUAACGCAUUAAGCACUCCGCCUGGGGAGUACGACCGCAAGGUUGAA
rnacentral:rRNA from 1 species